rnacentral:lncRNA from 10 species
AUAUACACCAUGGAAUACUAUGCAGCCAUAAAAAAUGAUGAGUUCAUGUCCUUUGUAGGGACAUGGACAAAAUUGGAAAUCAUCAUUCUCAGUAAACUAUCGCAAGAACAAAAAACCAAACACUGUAUAUUCUCACUCAUAGGUGGGAAUUGAACAAUGAGAACACAUGGACACAGGAAGGGGAACAUCACACUCUGGGGACUGUUGUGGGGUGGGGGGAGGGGGGAGGGAUAGCAUUGGGAGAUAUACCUAAUGCUAGAUGACGAGUUAGUGGGUGCAGUGCACCAGCAUGGCACAAGUAUACAUAUGUAACUAACCUGCACAUUGUGCACAUGUACCCUAAAACUUAAGAAUAAUAAUUAAUAAAUUAAAAAGAGGCAUUCUAUUUGAGUCUUGUUAUUACUGACUUUUCAGUUAUAAGUGAUAAGAAUGCUGAUAUUUUAGCUAGUCACCCAUUAGAUAACAUUUAUUUGCUUAUUAUUUAUAUCAUUGCUGGGCAUGGUGGCUCAUUGCCUGUAAUCCUAGUUACUUUGGGAGGCCAAAGUGAGAGGAUUGCUUGAGGCCAGGAGUUCAAGACCAGCUUCAGCAAUAUAGUGAGACCCCCAUCUCAAUCAAUCAACCGAUCUAUCAGUUUUUAUCACUGUGCUUAUUUAUAUGAUUGUAAAACACUUUCACAUUAAAAGAUAACCUCAAAAAUUCAUGGUAGCUUACCAAAAGGGGCCAUAUUGUUAUUUAUUUAGUCUUGGUAACCAAACAGUUCCAAAAUUUUUACUGUUUAAGUAGAAAUGAGCUGAGCUUUGAGAGAUUUUUUUGUUGUUGUUUUAAAGAUUAUAUUUCUUUAUUUCUUUUUUGUCGGGGGUGAAGAUGGGGUCUAAGGGUCUCACUAUAUUGCCCAGGCUGGAGUGCAGUGGCUGUUCACAGGCACAAUCAUAGCUUACUACAUCCUUGAACUUGAACAUCCUUGAGAUGGGAAGGCUCAAGAGAUCCUCCCCCGCUCAGCUUCCCAAGUACCUAGGACUACAGGCCGACACCAUCAUGCCUGGCCAUACUUCACUUACCAGUAAUCAUAAUGAAGAUCGUGUAUUUAACAGAUGUUAAGCUUACCAACUGUUCAGAUGUGCAUGUGAAUUGGGGGUAGAUUGUGAAGACAUUUGCAAUAUUCUAUCUCCCUGACAUUAUAAUUGGGAAAAAUUAGGUUUAAAUAACCGUGUGAUAGAAAACCUGUAUCUCUGUGAUAAGUUCUCUAAGAGUGGUACAAGACAUUUGCAAUAUUCUCUCUAUCUCCCUAACGAUGUAAUUGGAAAAAUGAGGUUUAAAUAACACUGUUCUAUGAUAGGUUCUCUAAGAGUGCUGCCAAGUGUUAUAAGAGUUCAGAAUGAGACCUUUAAAGUAGAAUGAACGGAGAAGGUUUCCUGGAGUAGAGAGAAUUUGAGCCAGGCCUGGAAGCUUAGGCAGGACUUUAACAGGAAGACAUGGUGAGAGAACAGCAUGCCUGAGAGAGAAAAUUCAUGCUUGCCAGUCUGAGAUAAGCCAGUAUCAUCUUCUUUCAGGUGCAAGUUUUGAAACUGCUUUUGAAUUUGUCUGAAAAUCCAGCCAUGACAGAAGGACUUCUCCGUGCCCAAGUGGAUUCAUCAUUCCUUUCCCUUUAUGACAGCCACGUAGCAAAGGAGAUUCUUCUUCGAGUACUUACGCUAUUUCAGAAUAUAAAGAACUGCCUCAAAAUAGAAGGCCAUUUAGCUGUGCAGCCUACUUUCACUGAAGGUUCAUUGUUUUUCCUGUUACAUGGAGAAGAAUGUGCCCAGAAAAUAAGAGCUUUAGUUGAUCACCAUGAUGCAGAGGUGAAGGAAAAGGUUGUAACAAUAAUACCCAAAAUCUGAUUGGUCAUAUUUUUCCAAAGAGUAAUGCAGUCUGGAUAUAAACGUAUUUUCUGUCUUCCUUAUAAGGGGAUUCUCCCAGCUGCUAAAUUUAAACAGUAAAUAUCACAUUUUGUCAUUAACACAGCUAUAACUUGCCGUGGUUCUCAGAUUUAUUUUGGACUAUUUUGAUGCCAAGUGAAUAUAAGAGCUUGUACUGAAACCAUUUAUUUCUUUCUAUUUUGCUAUUUGCAAAUGCUUGUUAUCUUCCCUACAUGAAGUGGCAGUAACCUUUUUCACAUUUAAGCUACCCUUCUACCUUUUGAAGUGAUUUGCAGUUACUCAUCUGAGACAGCAUCAGUAUUUGACUAAAUCAUUGUUUCAC